rnacentral:rRNA from 1 species
AUUGAACGCUGGCGGCAUGCCUUACACAUGCAAGUCGAACGGCAGCACGGGUGCUUGCACCUGGUGGCGAGUGGCGAACGGGUGAGUAAUAUAUCGGAACGUACCUUAUUGUGGGGGAUAACGCAGCGAAAGCUGUGCUAAUACCGCAUAAUCUCUAAGGGGGAAAGCGGGGGACCGUAAGGCCUCGCGCAAUUAGAGCGGCCGAUACCUGAUUAGCUAGUUGGUGAGGUAAAGGCUCACCAAGGCAACGAUCAGUAGCUGGUCUGAGAGGACGAUCAGCCACACUGGGACUGAGACACGGCCCAGACUCCUACGGGAGGAAGCAGUGGGGAAUUUUGGACAAUGGGGGCAACCCUGAUCCAGCAAUGCCGCGUGAGUGAAGAAGGCCUUCGGGUUGUAAAGCUCUUUUGUCAGGGAAGAAACAGCAGCUCUAACACAGUUUGCGAAUGACGGUACCUGAAGAAUAAGCACCGGCUAACUACGUGCCAGCAGCCGCCGUAA